UACAGAGGGUGCAAGCGUUAAUCGGAAUUAUUGGGCGUAAAGGGCGCGUAGGCGGUGUUUUAAGUGAGAUGUGCAAUCCCCGGGCUUAACCUGGGAACUGCAUCUCAGACUGGAACGCUAGAGUACUGGAGAGGGUGGUAGAAUUCCACGUGUAGCGGUGAAAUGCGUAGAGAUGUGGAGGAAUACCAGUGGCGAAGGCGGCCACCUGGACAGUAACUGACGCUGAGGCGCGAAAGCGUGGGUAGCAAACAGG
rnacentral:rRNA from 1 species